rnacentral:lncRNA from 1 species
UACAAAAACGCUUCAAGCGAAAAUGGAGUAUUAAGAAUUCUUAAAUGUCCUAAUAUCUGUAUAAAUUCAAAUUGGGGUAAACGUUCGUUUUAGUUUUGACGCUGGUUCUGGUCAAGCUUGAAGCUGCCGCGCAACCAAAUUUCUGCAAGCUAACAUUCCGUGAAAAUAACUUCAAAUUUAGCUGGAGCGACAGAAGCAACAACAACAGCAAUAGCAGCAGCAGCAGAGCAACCAUAAUUACAAACAAAAGGCCGCAAAGAAACUGGAAAUGCUAAAAAAUGCCGUAAUAAUGCCCAUAAGGGUUUUGGGAGCAGUAAAGCAUAAAACCUAACCACAGAAAAGCAACAACAAUAAUAAUGUGAAAAAUGCUCAAGCAACUAACAUGAUUAUAAGUAAGCAAAGGUCCGACUAUGCGGCGCAAGCGGGAACAUGUAGAAGGUUAAGCGUCCGGAAAGCUUGUGCUGGCAUUGCUAGCGUUGGUCGCCGAGCGAUGGCAGCACAGCGGUCGGUUCGAAACGUGCAACGCCCCAGUAAAACCAUACAAAACGAUACAAUAAAAUUACUAAUUUAAUGCA